CGCAGUCUCUCUUCUCACCUACAUACAGUCUCAGUCACUGGAUCAAGGUCUCACUUUUGAGUGUUCCCCCGAGCGUUUGAGCUUGAGAAUGUGAGUCUGUAGAGCUCAUCGGCGGCGUCGGAAUGCGAGCGUUUCUCCCAGCGGAUACGAGACCCAGAAUGCAGCUGCUCGCUCGGGCGAAUCACAGCCCUUAGGCACGUCAUCUCCUUCAGCCCUACCUGCCUGUCACAGACUCGACAGACACAUGACACACAAAGCUUCGGUCAUUCAGUCACUUUAUCACACGUCCGCGAGAUGCAUAUACUUGUGCUUGCGCUUGCACUUGCACGCUACUUGCGUAGAGCGGGGGAGGAGCGGGGAGACGCUCAACAGUGCUCAACAAACAUGUGAUAGUAGGCCGUUGGCCGUUUGGGUGUGACCGGCGCCUUGUUAAUGUCACAUUGUGUUCUUGACGACAUGCCCUGUCUCAAUCCUAUCACUAUAAUAGAGGUGGAAUCCAUUACAUCUAUUGU
rnacentral:misc_RNA from 1 species